GGCGUAGUGGCGAAGUGGUAACGCAGCAGUCUGCAAAACUGUUAUUGCAGGGGUUCGAUUCCCCUCUACGCCUCCA
rnacentral:tRNA from 1 species